rnacentral:rRNA from 1 species
GACGAACGCUGGCGGCGUGCUUAACACAUGCAAGUCGAACGGAAAGGCCUUUUCGGAGGUACUCGAGUGGCGAACGGGUGAGUAACACGUGGGUGAUCUGCCCUGCACUCUGGGAUAAGCCUGGGAAACUGGGUCUAAUACCGGAUAGGACCGCACUUUAGUGUGUGUGGUGGAAAGUUUUUUCGGUGUAGGAUGAGCCCGCGGCCUAUCAGCUUGUUGGUGGGGUAAUGGCCUACCAAGGCGGCGACGGGUAGCCGGACUGGGAGGUUGGUCGGCCACAGUGGGACUGAGAUACGGCCCAGACUCCUACGGGAGGCAGCAGUGGGGAAUAUUGCACAAUGGGCGCAAGCCUGAUGCAGCGACGCCGCGUGGGGGAUGACGGCCUUCGGGUUGUAAACUCCUUUCGCCAGGGACGAAGCGUUUUGUGACGGUACCUGGAGAAGAAGCACCGGCUAACUACGUG